rnacentral:rRNA from 1 species
GGGUCCGGACACACUGAGGAUUGACAGAUAUACGUCGUGCGUUGAGCUCUCUCGGGGGCCGAGCGCAUGACUGAAAGAUGCUAGUUCUUUCAUGAUUAUGUGAUAGGUGGUGCAUGGCCGUUCUUAGUUCGUGGAGUGAUCUGUCUGCUUAAUUGCGUAUCAUAAAAAAAGAGACCUAGUAUACGCGUAAGAUAUCGUUUACGGUUCGUGACCCCCUUCGGGCGUGUGUCGCACGUACGUAUCAUACGCACUGGUCUCCGAUAGCAACGAACGUGACCGUACUCUAUUGUUGCAGCGAAUGUAUGCAUCUUCGGGUGUAUCUACCGCUGCUUAGCAUAUUUCAUGCCUCGUGCGUGUGUAUGCAUUAAACUAUAGAGACCGCUGUAUUUUUUUAAACCAGAGGAAGGAUACGGCAAUAACAGGUCUGUGAUGCCCUCAGAUGUUCCGGGCUGCACACGUGCUACAAUGAUCAUUGCACUGUGCAUCUAACCCAAUGUGCGUGGACGCCACGGUAUGUAUUUAUGCUUCGGCGUAGUAUAUAUCAGUUGGUCGGUCGCGCCGAACCUACUUCGAAAGUAAAAUUUCUCAGUGGGU